ACAGCAGUCGCCGCGGGAAUACAGAGGGUGCAAGCGUUAAUCGGAAUUACUGGGCGUAAAGCGCGCGUAGGUGGUUUGUUAAGUUGGAUGUGAAAGCCCCGGGCUCAACCUGGGAACUGCAUCCAAAACUGGCAAGCUAGAGUACGGUAGAGGGUGGUGGAAUUUCCUGUGUAGCGGUGAAAUGCGUAGAUAUAGGAAGGAACACCAGUGGAGAAGGCGACCACCUGGACUGAUACUGACACUGAGGUGCGAAAGCGUGGGGAGCAAACAGGAUUAGAUACCCGCGUAGUCCCUGUCUCUUAUAC
rnacentral:rRNA from 1 species